rnacentral:rRNA from 1 species
CUACCACAUCCNNGGAAGGCAGCAGGCGCGCAAAUUACCCANNNNNGAUACGGGGAGGUAGUGACAAUAAAUAACAAUACCGGGCAUUUAAUGUCUGGUAAUUGGAAUGAGUACAAUCUAAAUCCCUUAACGAGGAUCUAUUGGAGGGCAAGNNNNGUGCCAGCAGCCGCGGUAAUUCCAGCUCCAAUAGCGUAUAUUAAAGUUGUUGCAGUUAAAAANNNNNNAGUUGAAUUUCGGGAUUGACACGUCGGUCGUGCCCUAAGGGGUAUGAACUGGCGUAGUCAAUUUCUCACCUUCUGGAGAACCGCNAUGCCCUUAAUUGGGUGUCGCGGGGAACCAGGACCUUUACUUUGAAAAAAUUAGAGUGUUUAAAGCAGGCAUUUUGCUUGAAUACAUUAGCAUGGAAUAAUAAAAUAGGACGGCAUGAUUCUAUUUUGUUGGUUUCUAGGAUCACCGUAAUGAUUAAUAGGGAUAGUUGGGGGCAUUAGUAUUCAAUUGUCAGAGGUGAAAUUCUUGGAUUUAUUGAAGACUAACUACUGCGAAAGCAUUUGCCAAGGAUGUUUUCAUUAAUCAAGAACGAAAGUUAGGGGAUCGAAGACGAUCAGAUACCGUCGUAGUCUUAACCAUAAACUAUGCCGACUAGG